AGGCAAGAUGUUGGCAUAGCUGGUUUAUAAAGCACAGCUGUUCCAAUGUCUUGUUCUACU
rnacentral:pre_miRNA from 1 species